GACGAACGCUGGCGGCGUGCUUAACACAUGCAAGUCGAACGGAAAGGCCCUGCUUUUGUGGGGUGCUCGAGUGGCGAACGGGUGAGUAACACGUGAGUAACCUGCCCUUGACUUUGGGAUAACUUCAGGAAACUGGGGCUAAUACCGGAUAGGAGCUCCUGCUGCAUGGUGGUGGUUGGAAAGUUUCGGCGGUUGGGGAUGGACUCGCGGCUUAUCAGCUUGUUGGUGGGGUAGUGGCUUACCAAGGGUUUGACGGGUAGCCGGACUGAGAGGGUUACCGGGGAAAUUGGGAAUGAGAUACGGACCAGACUCCUACGGGAGGAAGAAGUGGGGAAUAUUGCAAAAUGGGCGGAAGCCUGAUGAAGCAACGCCGCGUGCGGGAUGACGGCCUUCGGGUUGUAAACCGCUUUCGCCUGUGACGAAGCGUGAGUGACGGUAAUGGGUAAAGAAGCACCGGCUAACUACGUG
rnacentral:rRNA from 1 species